rnacentral:lncRNA from 1 species
CAUGACAUCUCUAGCUUUGAGAUUUUGCAAAGAUGUAGCAUCAAUUGGAAUAGGCCAAUAUGCAAUAAGAUGGUAGAUGAAAUCCAUGAAUCCUGAACCACAUCAAUGAUGCCCCAUUAUCCACUAUCCACUUGAGAUUAGAUAAGAUUAAUGGAGUAAAAGAACACAACUAAUCCUCUAGCCAGGUGAACUAGGAUGUGAGCCCAA